AAGCCAAUGGCAGAAGCCUUCUGUGAGGCAGCAUUGCAUGCUCGGCUGAGAGGAGAGCAGUGGAGUGAGAUGCAAGAAAAGGGGAGGCCUGAGAUUUUUGUGCUGGUAAGGAAUCUGCGGUCUGCCGCCUAUCGGCUUGCCCUUGCAACCAUUGUAGUGGAACAACAGGUGGAAGACAUGGAGUUCACGUAUGUGGAUCUCAACUAGAUAGGCAGUGCAGGUGGAUCCUCUCCCGCCAAAUAAAACCAUUGCAUUUCCAGGCCUUGGCAUGCUUUCAGGAAGUCACCAACAGAUAUUGCCAAGAGAAGAAAUCUGUAUGUCUUGAUUCACCCCAUCUUUCCAUAUACAUUGUUUUAUAAAGCAGAAUUGUAUUAGAAAUUGCAGUCUUAAUUGAGUAUGGAGUCCUGAUGCCACUUGUAAUCAUAAUUUGGUUCAGACAAGAAAUUAAAUAGGAAUUCGAG